rnacentral:rRNA from 1 species
UACGAGUGCCCCAAGCGUUAUCCGGAAUCAUUGGGCGUAAAGGGUGUGUAGGCGGCGCUGUUAGUCUUUUGUCAAAUUCUUGGGCUUAACCCAAGACUUGCAGAGGAAACGGCAGUGCUUGAGGGUGCGAGAGGUGAAUGGAACUCAUGGAGUAGGGGUGAAAUCCGUUGAUAUCAUGGGGAACACCGAAAGCGAAGGCAAUUCACUGGCGCAUUUCUGACGCUGAAACACGAAAGCGUGGGUAGCGAACGGG